rnacentral:lncRNA from 12 species
CACACACACCAAAUGUAUCCCCCACCCUUCUCCUCUGUGCUCACUAAGGUCUGAACACUGGCCCCAUACACACUCCCAACGGGUGCCUUUGCCCUUUGACUCCUCCUGCCUGGAAUGAUUUUCUCGGCACAGUGGCGCACUCCCUCACAUCUGUUGGAUCAAAUGUCAGUUUACCUGUGACACCUUUGCUGUCCACCUAUUUCUAAUAGCAGUUUCACCCUCCACCUUGGGCCAGGCUCUGGCAGUCUAAGAGUAGCCAGGCUACUCUUCCCUGACUGUGUUCCUCCAUAGGUCUUAGAUAUACCAUUUACUGCAUUUACUUAUUUUUUUCCUACCUCCUUCCAUUAGAAUGUAAUUUCCAAAGAGCAGUAAUUUCCAAUGUUUUGUUCAUUGUGUCCGCAGUGCCUGGAACCAACAAUUUUUGGCACAUUGGAGGAGAUGCAUAGUAAAUAGAAGAAAGUGCAUGAACAAAUGAGUGAAUGAAGAUGCCUGUAGUGCUGAAAGCAAGAGGACCACUCUGAUAACCACUCUGGACACAUUGGACAUCCAAGUCUCUUGGGCUUUCUGUUUCCUCCCUAAUUUAACCACAGAUUACUCAGAAGAAACCAUGUUCUACUUGCUUUGUGGGCAAGUGGAUCUACAAAGGAUCCCAGCAUCUGGGUGAUGUAGGGACUUUCCAGAUGCAGGCUCACAGUACCCAAGGCAACAGCAGCAGCAAUGGUACCACGUUGGUGGCCAGCUUCUAGACCCAUCCAGUCCACCAGCCUCGAGGGAUGUGUUAAGCAUUUGCUCUCCUUGCAAGAGGUUAAUAUGACCAGAGAAAAGACACCAGAUUCCUGGGGGAAGGCCUGUGGUGGCCAUAAUUAAGUAGAUCUUUCUGUGUGGAGGGGAGAGUAGAAGAUUCAGAAAGGAGUCAGCAUCCUCCCUCUAAAAUAUGCAAAUGAGCAUGAAAGUUGUUUCCAGAAAAUGGGGGACAGUCUGCCUACGAAGAAUUUUUUUUUUCUAAAUUCAAAAUCUACCAUAAAAAAGAAGGAACAUGCUUCUCCACAGGGGGCCGCUCCUAAAGGACAUCAGAUGAGAUAGAAGGAUCUCUUCGU